GCCUUCUGGACAGUACUGACGCUGAGAUGCGAAAGCGUGGGGAGCAAACAGGAUUAGAUACCUGGUAGUCACGCUGUAAACGAUGUCGAUUUGGAGUUUGUUGCCUAGAGUGAUGGGCUCCGAAGCUAACGCGAUAAAUCGACCGCUGGGGAGUACGGCCGCAAGGUUAAAACUCAAAUGAAUUGACGGGGGCCCGCACAAGCGGUGGAGCAUGUGGUUUAACUCGAUGCAACGCGAAGAACCUUACCUGGUCUUGACAUCCAUAGAAUUCUGCAGAGAUGUGGGAGUGCCUUCGGGAACUAUGAGACAGGUGCUGCAUGGCUGUCGUCAGCUCGUGUUGUGAAAUGUUGGGUUAAGUCCCGCAACGAGCGCAACCCUUAUUCUUUGUUGCCAGCGAUUUGGUCGGGAACUCAAAGGAGACUGCCGUUGAUAAAGCGGAGGAAGGUGGGGACGACGUCAAGUCAUCAUGGCCCUUACGACCAGGGCUACACACGUGCUACAAUGGCGUAUACAAAGGGAAGCGAAGGUGCGAGCUGGAGCGGAUCUCAUAAAGUACGUCUAAGUUCGGAUUGGAGUCUGCAACUCGACUCCAUGAAGUCGGAAUCGCUAGUAAUCGUAGAUCAGAAUGCUACGGUGAAUACGUUCCCGGGCCUUGUACACACCGCCCGUCACACCAUGGGAGUGGGUUGCACCAGAAGUAGAUAGCUUAACCGCGAGGGGGGCGUUUACCACGGUGUGAUUCAUGACUGGGGUGAAGUCGUAACAAGGUAACCA
rnacentral:rRNA from 1 species